UACAGAGGGGGCAAGCGUUGUUCGGAAUUACUGGGCGUAAAGGGCGCGUAGGCGGCCUGUUAAGUCGAACGUGAAAUCCCCGGGCUCAACCCGGGAACUGCGUCCCGAUACUGGCAGGCUUGAAUUCGGGAGAGGGAUGCGGAAUUCCAGGUGUAGCGGUGAAAUGGCGUAGAUAUCUGGAGGAACACCGGUGGCGAAGG
rnacentral:rRNA from 1 species